rnacentral:rRNA from 1 species
UACAGAGGUCUCAAGCGUUGUUCGGAUUCAUUGGGCGUAAAGCGUGCGCAGGCGGCGCGUUAAGACAGGUGUGAAAGCCCCGAGCUUAACUUGGGAAUUGCGCUUGUGACUGGCGUGCUGGAGUGUGGCAGAGGGAGGUGGAAUUCCACGUGUAGCAGUGAAAUGCGUAGAGAUGUGGAGGAAUACCGAUGGCGAAGGCAGCCCCCUGGGAUAACACUGACGCUCAUGCACGAAAGCGUGGGGAGCAAACAGG